rnacentral:rRNA from 1 species
AGUGAACGCUGGCGGUAGGCCUAACACAUGCAAGUCGAACGGCAGCACAGUAAGAGCUUGCUCUUACGGGUGGCGAGUGGCGGACGGGUGAGGAAUACAUCGGAAUCUACUUUUUCGUGGGGGAUAACGUAGGGAAACUUACGCUAAUACCGCAUACGACCUACGGGUGAAAGCAGGGGAUCUUCGGACCUUGCGCGAUUGAAUGAGCCGAUGUCGGAUUAGCUAGUUGGCGGGGUAAAGGCCCACCAAGGCGACGAUCCGUAGCUGGUCGGAGAGGCUGGUCGGCCACACUGGAACUGAGACACGGUCCAGACUCCUACGGGAGGCAGCAGUGGGGAAUAUUGGACAAUGGGCGGAAGCCUGAUCCAGUCAUACCGCGUGGGUGAAGAAGGCCUUCGGGUUGUAAAGCCCUUUUGUUGGGAAAGAACAGCAGCAGGUUAAUACGCCGCUGUUCUGACGGUACCCAAAGAAUAAGCACCGGCUAACUUCGUG